CCUACGGGAGGCAGUAGUGAGGAAUAUUGGUCAAUGGGAGAGAUCCUGAACCAGCCAAGCCGCGUGAGGGAAGACGGCCCUAUGGGUUGUAAACCUCUUUUGUCGGAGAAUAAAACCCGGGACGUGUCCCGGACUGCGUGUAUCCGAAGAAAAAGCAUCGGCUAUCACUGGGCCCGCAGCCGCGGUAAUAUGGAGGAUGUGAGCGUUAUCCGGAUUUUUUGGGUUUAAAGGGUGCGCAGGCGGUCCGUUAUGUCAGCGGUAAAAUUGUGGGGCUCAACCCCGUCGAGCCGUUGAAACUGGCAGACUUGAGUUGGCGAAGAGUACGCGGAAUGCACGGUGUAGCGGUGAAAUGCAUAGAUAUCGCGAAGAACUCCGAUUGCGAAGGCAGCGUACCGGCGCCAGACUGACGCUGAGGCACGAAAGCGUGGGGAUCGAACAGGAUUAGAUACCCCAGUAGUC
rnacentral:rRNA from 1 species